GAGGUCGGAGGUUCAGUCCUCCCAGGCCCACCACUUCGCAAUCCGCAAGGAUUGUCGGAUCUCCUCGAUAUCCGUCGGGAAACACUAUCAGGGGCCGUAGCUCAGCUGGGAGAGCGCCUGCUUUGCAAGCAGGAUGUCGUCGGUUCGAUCCCGUCCGGCUCCACCAACCAUCUUCUGUGAAGGUGGGGCGUGUCGAGUAGAGGAUGAUCGCCCGCGGUCAGUCAUUCGAAAAAGAGUUUGCGGCGCGCUUCGUGCUCUCCGCCUGUUCUGUUUGACAUCGUAAAGAGAAGAUUUGUUCGAACUUCACGGCUGCAAGGCUGUGAUUUGUCGCAAGGACGCUCAAUCCCUUGCCUAUGGGUUUGCCUAACCGCGCCCUCGAACGGAUCUCGAGAAGCUGGUCUUUUUGUGCCAAUUCCAUUGAAGCAAGCCCCGCACAGGGUUUUGCUCAGGCGGCGAUCCUUCGGAUCGCGCAGAUGGGUAUUGGCAAUGAGAACGAUCAAGUGUCUUAAGGGCAAUUGGUGGAUGCCUUGGCAUGCACAGGCGAUGAAGGACGUGAUACGCUGCGAUAAGCUACGGGGAGGUGCGAAUACCCUUUGAUCCGUAGAUCUCCGAUGG
rnacentral:misc_RNA from 1 species